ACAGGUGGUUCAGUGGUAGAAUUCUUGCUUUCCAUGCAGGAGACCCCGGUUUGAUUCCCAGCCAAUGUA
rnacentral:tRNA from 1 species